rnacentral:rRNA from 1 species
AUACGGAGGGUGCAAGCGUUAUCCGGAAUCAUUGGGUUUAAAGGGUCCGCAGGCGGACUGAUAAGUCAGUGGUGAAAUCCCGUAGCUUAACUACGGAACUGCCAUUGAAACUGUCAGUCUUGAAUUCGGUCGAAGUGGGCGGAAUGUGUCAUGUAGCGGUGAAAUGCAUAGAUAUGACACAGAACACCGAUAGCGAAGGCAGCUCACUAGGCCUGAAUUGACGCUCAGGGACGAAAGCGUGGGGAGCGAACAGGAUUAGAAACCCCAGUAGUCC